GGGCGAGUGGUGGAAUGGCAUACACGAAGGAUUUAAAAUCCUUUGGCCGUAAGGUCUUGAGGGUUCAACUCCCUCCUCGCCCACCA
rnacentral:tRNA from 1 species